AACGUGCUAGAACUUGUCCCCUUCCCCAUCCUCCCAGUCAGUUGGCCCCCAACGGCCGCCCACUCUCAGACACACUUUGAGGCCAGGCGGAGGGCACAGGCCGGGGCUGGCUCCCCAUGGGCUCUGCCCUGGAACCACAGCAGGUUCCCCUGCCCGGAGAUCAAGGGCAGCUCGAGGUUCACAGCCUGGGCCUCGUUUUUCAACUGAAAGAAAGCAAACUCAGAGAGAGGUUUACUUUCUUUGAAGAAACACAGAAGUACUUCUUGAAUAUGGACAUAUUAUAACCAAUUUUAUAGGAAAUAUUUAGCAGAGAAGAGGAUUUCUACAAGUGACCUGAAUCUAAGAAGACAAUCAGCAGGAAACUGUUUUGAGACCACACUCAGACCAGAGAGCAACAUCAGAUGGAUUCCUGAGAAUCAGACAGCUGUAUGAGAUGAAACUUCUGAGUUUUAAAUGGACAAUUUUAUUUUUUUACUGUCUUACCUUUUCCCUUUGUCUUUUAUCUGUAAGGUCUACUUACUAAAGGGAACUGCCCCCUUUGGUUUUGUCAAUGCAUCAAAUCAAUUUCUUCCCCUUUUCCCCUUACAAUGUUAUCCAUUAUAAACCCAAUACUUAAGAACCCUUAAUGAAGUGUUUAUAAUAUCACUUAGUGAUUCAUUGAGAUUUUAUCUUUUAAUUAGAACCAAAUGGGGAAAUGUGAGAAAUGAAUAUUUCUCCCAUGUUUAAUAAUUAACUAUUGUAUUAGGAGUAAAGUUUUUUCCCCUUUUCUACUUCCUCAUCCAGAAAUCAACAAGUGUGGGAAAUCUAUCUUAAAGAUUUAGCAAGGCCAAGAUCUAAUCAGACAGUAAAAGAAAUUCUAAGUUUGGGCUAAUGGUGAGUGUAUUCCUACUCAUUGCAUUUGCUCAGACAGGUGUGGGAAAAUGUUGAUUCUCCCUAUUAUCAAGAUAGAUGAUAUGGAAGUUGAUGUCUCUUUGACCAAGAUUUGAAUGAUCUAAGUCACAUACCCUAAGAACUUCAUUUUAAUAUAGCCUACACCUCCCAUUGUCUUAACCAAUCUGAGUUGAUUGCCAUCCUUCAGAAACACCUCCUCUUCAAGGGCAAAUAAACUGCGUCCCCACCACCACUAGAGGUCUUUGGUCUAAGAAAGAUGGACAAAUGACCAUCAUUUUUGUUAAUAACCUGCUGGCCUUAUUAAUAAAUGAUUAAAUUA